UGUGGUUGUUGCGUCCUGAACUGACUUGG
rnacentral:piRNA from 1 species